AGGGCAAGUCUGGUGCCAGCAGCCGCGGUAAUUCCAGCUCCAAUAGCGUAUAUUAAAGUUGUUGCAGUUAAAAAGCUCGUAGUUGAAUUUCGGGAUCAAUCUAUCGGUCGUGCAAUAGUAUGUACUGAUUUUAUUGAUUCCUCCCUUCUGAUGAACUAUGAUGUCAUUAAUUUGGUGUCAUAGGGAAUCAGGACUGUUACUUUGAAAAAAUUAGAGUGUUUAAAGCAGGCUCACGCUUGAAUACAUUAGCAUGGAAUAACGAAAUAGGACGUUUGAUUCUAUUUUGUUGGUUUCUAGGAUCGACGUAAUGAUUAAUAGGGAUAGUUGGGGGCAUUAGUAUUCAAUUGUCAGAGGUGAAAUUCUUGGAUUUAUUGAAGACUAACUACUGCGAAAGCAUUUGCCAAGGAUGUUUUCAUUAAUCAAGAACGAAAGUUAGGGGAUCGAAGACGAUCAGAUACCGUCGUAGUCUUAACCAUAAACUAUGCCGACUAGGGAUCGGAUGAUGUUAAUUUUUUAAUGACUCAUUCGGCGCCUUACGGGAA
rnacentral:rRNA from 1 species